UAAUCCCCUUUUAUACUGAAGUGUCUGAGGCUCAUUUUAAUUGAACAGAUUUGCCCAAGUGCUAGGGUUAGGGUGUUCCUAGCUCCCAGAUCUGUUCUCAGACUGCCAGACUUUUCAGUUUCCACAUUCUACAGGGACUAGAUGCAGAGCAAUGGACUCAAGAUUCCUGCAAUGUGGUGAAAUCUAGAAGUGCCCUAGAGAAGACUGCCAGACCCUCCCCAGCUGUGUAAGACCUUGGACGCUGUCCAACUACCACUCUGAAAGGGGUAGUAACUGCUGUCAAUAAGGUUGCAAAGCCAUUUCCAUUACAAACUCCUGUUUUCAGCACAGUUCUCAAGAACAAAGUAUAAAUGUCCUCAGCAAAUGCACUGUUUGCUCAAUGGUGUCAUCUUGGUUACAAUUGAGCAGCUUUGUUUCAGUAAAGGGGAAGAUAAAUAGGCCUUCAGCCCUCCUCUGUGUGAACAUGCAUUCAUUGUCCCACGGGGGUUUAUCUCAGACUUGGUUGACAUAUUUUUAUGAGCCCCUUGUUAAAGUAUUGGCAGCACAUCACGGCCGAGUUCAAGUGACAGGGACAAGAGGAACUGGCAGGAAUAGAUCAGCUGAACACAAUGCAAUGACUCUAACCUCAUGAAAAUUUGAUAAUGGCUUUGAUUCACUGAUGACCAACCAAGCAUCAUGUGCCUUCUCCCUUCCUUGUAGGGGAGAACUGAUUUCUGAAAUACGCAGCUAGAAUUUCAUAUAGUUGCUGAUGACAGGUGAAUUAGUCCUCAAACUUACUGUAGUUGCACAACAGAGCACACCUUACCCAUCACUGCCUACAAGCUUGUUCAGUUUGGCUAAUUUCAUUCCGCCUGCUGAAAUUCCCCUGCCGUUCCAAAGGGCAGUUGUGAUCUUCAGUUUCUGUCCUUGACUGUGUGCUGUGGGUAAACAGCUGUCAUGUUCCACUUGAGAGGUGGCUGCAUCUCACUAGUGGGUGAAGUGAUUCUCAGCUGUGAAUGGCAUGCUCUACAUCUGCUAUUUUUAUUAAACCUAGUUAACUGUG